GACGUAGGGCGCGAGCGUUGUCCGGAUUUAUUGGGCGUAAAGAGCUCGUAGGCGGCUUGUCGCGUCGACCGUGAAAACCCGCAGCUCAACUGCGGCGUUGCGGUCGAUACGGGCAGGCUGGAGUUCGGUAGGGGAGACUGGAAUUCUGGUGUAGCGGUGAAAUGCGCAGAUAUCAGGAGGAACACCGGUGGCGAAGGCGGGUCUCUGGGCCGAUACUGACGCUGAGGAGCGAAAGCGUGGGGAGCGAACAGGAUAGAA
rnacentral:rRNA from 1 species